rnacentral:tRNA from 1 species
UCCCUGGUGGUUCAGAUGGUAGAGAAUCUGCCUGCAAUGUGGGAGACCCAGGUUUGAUCCCUGGGUAGGGAA